rnacentral:rRNA from 1 species
CGCCUUGCCAGCCCGCUCAGAACUUAAAGGAAUUGACGGGGCCGCACAAGCGGUGGAGCAUGUGGUUUAAUUCGAUGAUACGCGAGGAACCUUACCUGGGCUCAAAUGUAUGUUGACGUAUUCUGAAAGGGAUACUUCUUCGGACAAUAUACAAGGUGCUGCAUGGUUGUCGUCAGCUCGUGCCGUGAGGUGUCGGGUUAAGUCCCAUAACGAGCGCAACCCCUAUCAUUAGUUGCCAUCAGGUCAAGCUGGGGACUCUAAUGAAACUGCCUACGCAAGUAGUGAGGAAGGUGGGGAUGACGUCAAAUCAGCACGGCCCUUACGUCCAGGGCUACACACGUGCUACAAUGGCCGGCACAACGGGAAGCGAAGGGGCGACCCUGAGCGGAUCCCCAUAAAAGCCGGUCCCAGUUCGGAUUGCAGUCUGCAACUCGACUGCAUGAAGUUGGAAUCGCUAGUAAUCGUGGAUCAGCCAAGCCGCGGUGAAUACGUUCCCGGGCCUU